CCUACGGGAGGCAGCAGUGGGGAAUAUUGGGCAAUGGUCGCAAGCCUGACCCAGCAACGCCGCGUGCAGGAAGACGGCUUUCGGGUUGAAAACUUCUUUUUAGGGGGAAGAGCAGAAGACGGUACCCCUUGAAUAAGCCAUGGCUAACUACGUGCCAGCAGCCGCGGUAAUACGUAGGUGGCGAGCGUUGUCCGGAUUUACUGGGUGUAAAGGGCGUGCAGCCGGAGAGACAAGUCAGCUGUGAAAUCCACGGGCUCAACCCGUGAACUGCAUUUGAAACUGUUUCCCUUGAGUGUCGGGGAGGUAAGCGGAAUUCCUUGUGUAGCGGUGAAAUGCGUAGAUAUAAGGAAGAACACCAGUGGCGAAGGCGGAUUACUGGACGAUAACUGACGGUGAGGCGCGAAAGCGUGGGGAGCAAACAGGAUUAGAUACCCUUGUAGUC
rnacentral:rRNA from 1 species